UCCAAUAUUCAUGCUCAUAUGAACUACAUCUACAACAUUUGAGAUGGCAAAUUUUCUAACAAAAUUUAUAUUCAAAGAAGCAAGAAUAAAGCUUGUAACAAUUACAACUUUUAAAUCACAAACUAUGAACUACAAAACCCAAAAGGAUUCACCAACUACUAGACCUAGGCUCUGAUACCACUUGAAGGAUUAUUUUGUGAAAACAUGUUCAUUUAAGCAACAUCAUAUAGCAUGCAAUUAACAAUUAAAGGCGGAAUCAUGCUAGCAUGCACUUAAAACCAAAACAUUAACCAAGAAAUUCAAAGCCUAGUAGAUUGGUGAACCAUUAAUCAACUCAAAACAA
rnacentral:lncRNA from 1 species